rnacentral:rRNA from 1 species
AACGAACGCUGGCGGCAUGCCUAACACAUGCAAGUCGAACGAGACCUUCGGGUCUAGUGGCGCACGGGUGCGUAACGCGUGGGAACCUGCCCUUAGGUUCGGAAUAACUCCCCGAAAGGGGUGCUAAUACCGGAUAAUGUCUUCGGACCAAAGAUUUAUCGCCUUUGGUUGGGCCCGCGUUGGAUUAGCUAGUUGGUAGGGUAAAAGCAUACCAAGGCGACGAUCCAUAGCUGGUCUGAGAGGAUGAUCAGCCACACUGGGACUGAGACACGGCCGAGAAUCCUACGGGAGGCAGCAGUGGGGAAUAUUGGACAAUGGGCGAAAGCCUGAACAAGCAAUGCCGCGUGAGUGAUGAAGGCCUUAGGGUUGUAAAGCUCUUUUAACCGGGAUGAUAAUGACAGUACCGGGAGAAUAAGCUCCGGCUAACUCCGUG